UAAUGGUAUUGUUUAUGUCGUGUAGUGGAAUAUUACUGUGUCUCUUUCUGCCUACAGUGUCUCACACGUAUUACACAUGUUUGACCUGUUGCAUACAUAGAAAUGGGAGAGUGAAGAAAAUUCCUGUCCGACCAAAGAUGACUAGGACACACCCUGACCAGACCUCCAGUGGUGACUGCCUGGGGGAAAACACCACAUUCACGAAUCUGGACAGAACAACCCACUGCAUUUCACUACCAGAGAUUCACCCCGAUGCUGCCAGUGGCUUGUGGCUAUCAAGAAUGAUGCUUUCGGUGACCAAAGAUUAUCAAAGGGAUUUUCAGGCUGAACUGAUGGGGAAUCCAUUUAGACAACAGGUGUGUCACGACUUCCGCCGAAGUUGGUGCCUCUCCUUGUUCGUUUGGCG